rnacentral:rRNA from 1 species
UACGAAGGGGGCUAGCGUUGCUCGGAAUCACUGGGCGUAAAGCGUGCGUAGGCGGUUGUUUAAGUCUGCUGUGAAAUCCCCGGGCUCAACCUGGGAAUGGCAGUGGAUACUGGACAGCUAGAGUGUGUCAGAGGAUGGUGGAAUUCCCGGUGUAGCGGUGAAAUGCGUAGAGAUCGGGAGGAACAUCAGUGGCGAAGGCGGCCAUCUGGGACAACACUGACGCUGAGGCACGAAAGCGUGGGGAGCAAACAGG